CAUGGCCGUGGCCUCACCAAGCGCGUCAAGGACGAAGUGGCCGACUCAUCGGAGCCUCGCCAUGUUCAGAACAGAGACGGGCAGUUCGUGUGGGCGUGGAGGGGCGUGCUGGCCAACGUGCCCACCGAGUGGAGAGGCGGGCGCCAGACAGGGGAGAGCGGGAGCCUCCUCAAGGAGCAGCUCGCCAGCUUCUGCCCGCACAAGGUCGUCCCUUUGUGGAGCCAAAGAGGCCACACGGGGAACGCCAUUGUUGAGUUUGGAAAGGACUAUCCCGCUCUCGGCAUCGGCAACGCCUUCAGCUUCGAGAACCACUUCGAGGCGCAGGGGCAUGGCAAGCGGGGCUGGGAGGCGAGCAGGUCCCGAGGAGCGGGAAGGCCGGAGAUGUUUGGGUGGGUUGCGAGGGCCGAUGACCAACGGGCUCCAGGGCUGGUCGGGGAAUACCUGCAGAGGAACGAUGAUCUGAAAUCUGUUGCAGAGCUUGAGAGCGAAGGAACGCCCAAAACCGACAAGCUGGUGGCCAAUUUGGCCAGCCGGAUUCAGGUGAAGGCUAAGCAUGUCCAGGAGCUUGAAUCUAAGCAGUACUGUGAGAGGACCAGCUCACUUGGCAGGGUGUUGGAGGAAAAGGAGCCGAUCGUCCAGAGAUAUAAUAAUGGAAUCCACAAGAUGCAGCAGCUUGCUCGUAGGCAUUCUCGGAUCAUCAUCGACGAGAAUCAGAAGGUCUGUUUGGAACUGGAUUCCAAGAUGCAUGAUCUUGAGUUCAAACCCAAGCAGCUUCAUGACCUUGCUGUGCGUAACGACUCUGACAGAAGGAAUCUCGAUAAGCAAAAGGAAAAGAACAUGAUCAAAGCAAAGUAUCUCAAGAUGGCAACAACGGAGCAACAGAAGUCCGACGAAAAUGUGCUGAAGCUUGUGGAAAAACACAAGAGAGAGAAGCAAGCUACUAUAGAUGAGAUUAUCAAGUUAGAGCAGAAAAUGGAUCCCAGACAGAAGCUUGAGUUAAAAAUAAAACAGCUGCAGAGAAAAUUGAAUGUCAUGAAGCAUAUGCCAGGUGACGAAGACUUCGAAUCGAAGAGGAAAAUUGAUGAACUUAGUGGGGAGCUGCGGGAGAAGUAUGAUGAAAUAAAUGAGAUGGAAUCACUCCAUGGGAUUCUGCUUAUAAAGGAAAGGAUGAGCGACAAUGAGUUGCAAGAUGCUCGGAAGAAGCUGAUAGAUGGCUUCUUAGAUGUUACAACUGGCCAAGCAAAUAUAGGCAUCAAAAGGAUGGGUGAUCUUGAUCGGAAAUCAUUUGCGAUUGCCUGCAAAAAUAAAAUGGCAAAAGAAGAUGCAGAAGUUACUGCUUCCGUUCUUUGUUCAAAGUGGGAGGAUGAGAUAAGAAAUCCAGAGUGGCACCCUUUUAAAGUUGUCGUGGAUGGCGGCAAAGAGAAGGAAAUCCUCCGGGAGGACGACGAGAAGCUGCGAGAACUGAAAGAAAAGCACGCCGGGGAGGUGUACGCCCUGGUGACAAACGCGCUGCUCGAGAUGAACGAGUACAAUCCGAGCAGGCGCUACUCGGUGCCGGAGCUGUGAAACUUCAAGGAGAACCGAAAGGCGGGCCUGGAGGAGGUGGUGGAGUACCUCCUCAAGCAGUGGCGCACCCUCAAGAAGAGGAAGCGCUGA
rnacentral:rRNA from 1 species